rnacentral:rRNA from 1 species
AGAGUUUGAUCCUGGCUCAGGACGAACGCUGGCGGCGUGCCUAACACAUGCAAGUCGAGCGGGGAUUGUGACUUCGGUUACGAUUCUAGCGGCGGACGGGUGAGUAACGCGUGAGCAAUCUGUCCCUCAGAGGGGGAUAACACAAUGAAAGUUGUGCUAAUACCGCAUGAGACCACGUGAUCACAUGGUUAUGGGGUCAAAGGAGAAAUCCGCUGAGGGGUGAGCUCGCGUCUGAUUAGCUAGUUGGUGGGGUAACGGCCUACCAAGGCGACGAUCAGUAGCCGACCUGAGAGGGUGAUCGGCCACACUGGAACUGAGAAACGGUCCAGACUCCUACGGGAGGCAGCAGUGGGGAAUAUUGGGCAAUGGGGGAAACCCUGACCCAGCAACGCCGCGUGAGGGAAGAAGGCUUUCGGGUCGUAAACCUCUGUCCCAUGUGAAGAGGAGAAGACGGUAGCAUGGGAGGAAGCCCCGGCUAACUACGUGCCAGCAGCCGCGGUAAUACGUAGGGGGCGAGCGUUGUCCGGAAUGACUGGGCGUAAAGGGCGCGUAGGCGGCCUGCUAAGUCUGGAGUGAAAGUCCCGCUUUCAAGGUGGGAAUUGCUUUGGAAACUGGCGGGCUGGAGUGUGGGAGAGGAAAGCGGAAUUCCCGGUGUAGCGGUGAAAUGCGUAGAGAUCGGGAGGAACACCAGUGGCGAAGGCGGCUUUCUGGACCAUAACUGACGCUGAGGCGCGAAAGCGUGGGGAGCAAACAGGAUUAGAUACCCUGGUAGUCCACGCUGUAAACGAUGAAUGCUAGGUGUAGGAGGUAUCGACCCCUUCUGUGCCGGAGUAAACACAAUAAGCAUUCCGCCUGGGGAGUACGGCCGCAAGGUUGAA